AUGCUUUCUUUGGCAGCAUAUAUUCUUCAGAUGGGACAUAAAGAGAAGAUUAGCAUAGCCCCAUAUAAGCAUAAAACAAGUUUGUGAAGCACUGUAUAUUUAA
rnacentral:snRNA from 1 species